AUUGAACGCUGGCGGCAGGCUUAACACAUGCAAGUCGAACGAGUGGCGGACGGGUGAGUAAUGCUUGGGAAUCUAGCUUAUGGAGGGGGAUAACUACGGGGAACUGUAGCUAAUACCGCGUACCAUAGGAUGAGCCCAAGUGGGAUUAGGUAGUUGGUGAGGUAAAGGCUCACCAAGCCGACGAUCUCUAGCUGGUCUGAGAGGAUGACCAUCCACAGUGGGACUGAGCCCCGGCCCAGACUCCUACGGGAGGCAGAAGUGGGGAAUAUUGCGCAAUUGGGGCAACCUGACGAAGCCAUGCCGCUUGUGUGAAGAAGGCCUUCGGGUUGUAAAGCACUUUCAGCGAGGAGGCGUUACUCGCAGAAGAAGCACCGGCUAACUCCGUGCCAGCAGCCGCGGUAAUUC
rnacentral:rRNA from 1 species